rnacentral:rRNA from 1 species
UACAGGGGGGGCAAGCGUUGUUCGGAAUUACUGGGCGUAAAGGGUUCGUAGGUGGCCAACUAAGUCAGACGUGAAAUCCCUCAGCUUAACUGGGGAACUGCGUCUGAUACUGGAUGGCUUGAGUGCAGGAGAGGAAUGCGGAAUUCCAGGUGUAGCGGUGAAAUGCGUAGAUAUCUGGAGGAACACCGGUGGCGAAGGCGGCAUUCUGGACUGUAACUGACACUGAUGAACGAAAGCUAGGGGAGCAAACGGG